AUGCAACGCAUGGCCUCCUCAGAGCACAACGAGAAGCUCCGGAUCCUGAUCGUCCCCUUCUUCGCCACCAGCCACAUCGGCCCCCACACCGACCUUGCCGUCCGCCUCGCCGCGGCCAGGCCGGGCGCCGUCGAGCCCACAAUGGCGGUCACCCCGGCGAACGCGCCGGUCGUUCGAUCGGCGCUCGAGCGGCACGGCGCUUCCGCCGCCGUCAGGAUAGCCACCUACCCUUUCCCAGCGGUGGGAGGCCUCCCGGCGGGUGUCGAGAACCUCUCCUCCGCCGGGGCCGACGGAUGGCGCAUCGACGCCGCGGCCAUUGACGAGGCGCUGACGCGGCCCGCGCAGGAGGCGCUCAUCAGGGAGUUGUCCCCUGACGUCGUACUCACCGACGUCCACUUCUUCUGGAACUCCGUCAUCGCCCGGGAGCUCGGCGUGCCGUGCGUCACAUUCAGUGUCAUCGGCCCCUUCUCGACCCUUGCCAUGGACCACCUCCACGAUACAGUUGAUGGCUACUCCGGUUGCCAUGAGGUGAUUGUACCACGUUUGCCAGGCCCGGAGAUACGGAUCCCGAGGACCGAACUGCCCGAGUUCUUGAGGAGCCAGGAGACAAACGACGGAUUCGAGCCGCCCUUUGCCGCGAUGCGCAGGUGCUUCGGCCUCGCCUUCAACACGUUUUUCGAGCUGGAGAGGCAGUACUGCGAGCUGUACCCGUGGCCCGGCAAGCGCGCCUACUUCCUCGGGCCACUGUCGCUGCCGCUGCCACCGGCCGGAGCAACAGCCGGCGAGUCACCGUGCAUCCGUUGGCUGGGGUUGAUGCCGAGAUGUUCGGUGGUGUACGUAUGCUUCGGCACCUACGCUCCCAUCUCUGCAGAUCAGCUCAGGGAGCUGGCCCUCGGACUGGAAGCUUCUGAGAAGCCGUUCUUGUGGGCGCUGAGGGCGACGGGUGGGCGCCGCCGGAGGGGUGGGAUGAGCGCGUGGGGAAGAGGGGGAUGCUCCUCCGAGGGUGGGCCCCACAGGCCGCGAUACUGGCCCAUCCGGCCGUGGGGGCGUUCCUGA
rnacentral:rRNA from 1 species